ensembl:lncRNA
GUGGGCUGGAGGGAGGCAGGGGUGCAGUUGCCAGGUGACAGGUGAAGAGGAUGCCCAUCAGGGAGAAACAGUAACUGUUCCCUGGCAUGAGCAUCCCGAGGGUAGAUAUGUUGGGUAGCAAAGCAUGCUUUGAAACAGUCCGUCUCAAAAGCUAUCUUCAGUUGACAUGGUCCUCAGUACCGUUGUCUUUCUUUGUGAAGGAUGGCACACUUCUCUGCCGGGUUCCUGUAUUCCACGCAGAAUGGCCAAAUGCAACUUGUUCUUCAUGGUCAUCUUUUGUGAAAAAGUCUCACAGAAGCGAGUUUGAUUCAGCCUCACACCUGCCCUGGUACCCUCUGAACUAUCGGGCCGAGAGUCUGCAAACUUCAUUCCCAGGCUCUUUUGCCAGCUGGAUCUCUGUCGAGUUCUGCCAGUUGGAGCACUGGUGGGAGACCAGAGGGGGAAAGGAGAGAGGAGACCUGCUUUGGCCCUCAUGGUGUGGCACUUGUUGGCAGGUCCUAAGAGUUGCUGUCACGGCAGCAGAGGUGAGCUAAUUCCUAGGCCCCAGCAGUCCAGACAGAGGAAGAACCUUUCAGUGGUUCCAUCUCUUUGAUGGGUUUAGCACCAAGUGCAACAGUGGCUUCCAAACUGUAGCAGCAGAUGUAGGGUCCCAGGCUCCAGCUCCAGGUGGCAUUGGUAGCUUCUGAUAUCUGGGUCUACCUGCCUUCCUGCCUUCCUUCCUUCCACCCCCCGCCCCAAAUCAAUAGAGGGCUUUUAUUGCAUCUUUAAAAUAUCACAAACAGGUCUUAUGAAUCAUCUGACACCUUGUUGCUUCCAUAGCUGGACAACUCUUAGAUCCUGUUCAUCAGCCUAGGGCACUGAUACAGACACCAUGCAAACAUUUUCUCAUAUCCUUGUUUCUAAUUGUUGUGGCUUGCUGAAUCAAAGCAGCUGAAUUGGAUACAAGUCCAUUGCCAUUUCCUUCAAGAAUUAGCUCAUCUUUCUGGGCUUGAGAUACUUAAGUAUUGCCUGGCCUCAUCCGAACCCUGCAGAUAUAUUUUUUGCACAAGAAAUUUCAGAUUUCAGCAAGAGACCCAUUCUGCUGAAAAAUGACAUUGAUGGGGACGUGAGCAUACUCUGAGCUCAUCUUGUAAUGGAAGCCCAGGGUAACACCCUCCUUCACGCUCUGCACCUGACACACAGAGCGCCAGUGGUAGCCCGGUCCUUUCAAUUUCCUACCGUUUGUCAAGCUGGAGCCUCUUCCUCUUUCCCAGGGGACUCAGUUCUACAGUGGUGUGACUGAAGCCCCUCUGCAGGGUUCCUCUGGGGCCCUUCACAAGAACUGUGCGUCCCUUCAGAGUGAUGUCGGCAUUCUCUGGAACGUCGACAUUCUGAUUGCUGAGAAUGGUCUUCAUUCUCACCAGUAGAUGCAGCAAAGAGCUCGCUGUUCCUUUCUUUUUGCUUCUUCUGCACUCCUCAUCCUUCCUUUUGCUCUUCCAGUCCUUCUAACAUCUUUGUAAAAAAUUCCCCGAAUUAAAUUCCCUCUAUUUGAAACACCUGGAGUGUUUUCUGUCUUUCUGACUGAAGCUUGACUGAUAAAAAGCAUGAGUGUUAUUUCUAAGUUUCAAGGUGAGCAAACUUAAUUCCUAUGUUUAAUCUGGCCCUGUUUAAUUUUUGAGCUGUUUAUAAGAAUAGAUUUUAGAUCAUUUUGGCCUCAUCCAUUUUUCUGUGUUUUGGGUUUUUGUCAAGAAGAGCUCCCAGGGGCAAAAUAGCAUCUUUAAGGUGAUCUCUGGCUGGAAGGACACAGAGCAGAGGCGUAAGUCUGGCUGAG